GAUGAACGCUGGCGGCGUGCUUAACACAUGCAAGUCGAACGAUGAAGCCCAGCUUGCUUGGUGGAUUAGUGGCGAACGGGUGAGUAACACGUGAGUAACCUGCCCUUGACUCUGGGAUAAGCCUGGGAAACUGGGUCUAAUACUGGAUAUAACUUCUCAUCGCAUGGUGGGGGGUGGAAAGAUUUAUUGGUCUUGGAUGGACUCGCGGCCUAUCAGCUUGUUGGUGAGGGAUUGGCUCACCAAGGCGACGCCGGGUAGCCGACCUGAGAGGGUGAACGGCCACACUGGGACUGAGGGAGGCACCAGACGCCAACGGGAGGCAACGGUGGGGAAUAUUACACAAUGGGGGCAAGCCUGAUGCAGCGACGCCGCGUGAGGGAUGACGGCCUUCGGGUUGUGAACGUCUUUCAGUAGGGAAGAAGCGGGAGUGACGGUACCUGCAGCAGAAGCGCCGGCUAACUACGUG
rnacentral:rRNA from 1 species